CCGGGCCUCCCUGUAAUUACCCACACAAUAGGCAUCCCUCUGCUUAAGAAGAACAGCUCUAUUUUCUCUAAAUAGGAAACCAGUUCCCUCACGGAUAUGAGCUACCCAACGCUUGCCACAAACUUUCCUAUUAACAGAUUCGUUUUGACAGUGCCUGUUCUGAUGAAGCUGGAUGCCAUGUUGUCAGCUGCCUUGUGGAGAGACCCAUGUGGGCAAGGAACUCUGGCCAACAGAUGAUCUGGGUGGUCUCUGGUCCACAGCCAGGGAAGGGCCGAGCACCUCUGACUAGAGGCUUAUGAGAAACUGAAUCCUGCCAGCAAGGAAGCAACAGCCCACAAUUGCCUGCAUUUUCUUUUCUCUUCAAAACCACUUCUGCUCCAAAGACCAUGAACCUGAACUGAAGAAACGACUCCUUCCUGCUGGCGUGAGAUAAUUCAGUCUCCAUGAUGUCUUAAUCCUGGGCCUCCCUUAAUUGACUUCUCACUGUGCUGAACUGUGGCUGCUAGGAGUUGCAAUGUGGAUCGCAAUUUACAAGGCACUGGAAUCGUUUCUCGUCUUCAAAUUAGUCCUGAGCUGUACUGGAGAAAGAAAAAAAGGGGCCUUUACCCUUCUUGCUGUCUUGCCACCACAAGUGAGACUUUCUUACCAUCUCAGAAUGGAUGGUUGCCUUUUAACAAUUUAGUUAGGGACAGAAAGGAAAAAGAGUUAGGGCUGCCAAUACUUCAUCAAUUUUGUCUUAAUAAAGUUGCCUCAUAUGGCCUAUCUUGUUCGGGGG